rnacentral:tRNA from 1 species
CUGGCUGUGUUGUUUAACGGUAGCAUCCGUGGUUUGGAACCACGGGGAGGAGGUUCAAAUCCUUCCAGCCAGA